UACGGAAGGGGCAAGCGUUGUUCGGAAUCAUUGGGCGUAAAGGGCGCGUAGGUGGUCUUGUAUGUCUACCGUGAAAGCAUACAGCUCAACUGUAUUUUGUCGGUAGAAACUGCAGGACUUGAGGCUGGGAGGGGCUGGUGGAAUUCCCUGUGUAGCGGUGAAAUGCGUAGAGAUGGGGGAGAACACUCGUGGCGAAGGCGGCCAGCUAGACCAGUUCUGACACUGAGGCGCGACAGCGUGGGGAGCAAACAGG
rnacentral:rRNA from 1 species